CCAUCAUCUCCUCAAAGACGACUGACUGCUACUCCACAAAAAGGAACAUGAUGCUAAACAUACAGGCGGUGAACCAUGUUAAUCCAGCUGCUUGGCCAGGGAAUAAGUGGAAAAAGUCAAUUACUUUGAUUUGGUAACUAAAGAAUAUGUAAGUAAAGUAGCAAGGAAGACAAUGUUAAUUCUUUAUCCUCACAAAAUUCCUAAAGAAGUUUCUCCACGAAUGAGAUACCUCGGUAUCCGAAUGUUUUCAACAUUUAAGUUUUUUAUUUUGUAGGCUGGAAAUGAUUUAUUAUUACUAUUGUUUCGUAAACAAAUAUUGUAAGGUUACGUGACAAAGUCUGCAAGGUUUACAAAAGUUCGCAAGGUUACGCGAUGUAAGGAUUUUUUUUUUAUAAAGAA